UACGAAGGGUGCUAGCGUUGUUCGGAAUUACUGGGCGUAAAGCGCGCGUAGGCGGCUAUUCAAGUCAGAGGUGAAAUCCCUGGGCUCAACCCAGGAAUUGCCUUUGAAACUGUAUAGCUGGAGUGUCGGAGGGGAUAGCGGAAUUGCUAAUGUAGAGGUGAAAUUCGUAGAUAUUAGCAGGAACACCGGUGGCGAAGGCGGCUAUCUGGACGACAACUGACGCUGAGGCGCGAAAGCACGGGGAUCAAACAGG
rnacentral:rRNA from 1 species